AAACACCCAGAGUCAAACACCAAGGAAGAAAUGACUAAGGCAUGAUUUCUAUCUUGGAAAACCUCGGAUACAGGGACAGAAAAAUCACAGUCCUCUAAAGGGACCCGAUAGAUACUCCAGGGGACCUGCAGGAAAGGAUGUGCGCGGCGGUAGGAGCACCCCGUGUUUCUUGCAGAAUUAGUUACAGUGGCCAGGAGAGGGAAGCAACCCACGUGUCCGUCCUCUGAUGGCCGGACAAGGAAGAGGGGGUGUGUAUGUCUAGAAUGGGAUAUUACUCGGCCAUCGAAAGGAAUGAGACCCUUCCAUUUGCAAGGACAGGGAUGGAAUUUAGAGAG